AUUCAUAUGAUCUUGAAGACCUUUCUGCACAGAAAUGAGGGAAAUACAAACAACCAAAUAUAGUUCUGAAAUUCGGGAUCUAUAUUUUGAGAUGAUUUUAUUUUCAGAAUGAGAAGUAUAUAUGGUUACCGUUAUGAAUGUAGAGACAUGAGAAGAGUCAUGAUGGCAAAAAACAAAGAGCCUCGUCCCCCAUCCUAUACUAUCAGUGUAGUUGGACUCUCUGGGACUGAAAAAGACAAAGGUAACUGUGGAGUUGGAAAGUCUUGUUUGUGCAAUCGAUUUGUACGCUCAAAAGCAGAUGAAUAUUAUCCAGAGCAUACUUCUGUGCUUAGCACCAUUGACUUUGGAGGACGAGUGGUAAACAAUGAUCACUUUUUGUACUGGGGUGACAUAACACAAAAUGGUGAAGACGGAGUAGAAUGCAGAAUUCAUGUCAUUGAACAAACAGAGUUUAUUGAUGACCAGACUUUCUUGCCUCAUCGGAGUACGAAUUUACAACCAUAUAUAAAACGUGCAGCUGCCUCUAAAUUGCAGUCAGCAGAAAAACUAAUGUACAUUUGCACUGAUCAACUGGGCUUGGAGCAAGACUUUGAACAGAAGCAAAUGCCUGAAGGGAAGCUCAAUGUAGAUGGAUUUUUAUUAUGCAUUGAUGUCAGUCAGGGAUGCAAUAGGAAGUUUGAUGAUCAACUUAAGUUUGUGAAUAACCUUUUUGUCCAGCUAUCAAAAUCAAAAAAGCCUGUAAUAAUAGCAGCAACUAAAUGUGAUGAAUGCGUGGACCAUUAUCUUAGAGAAGUUCAGGCAUUUGCUUCAAAUAAAAAGAACCUUCUUGUGGUGGAAACAUCAGCACGAUUUAAUGUCAACAUUGAAACAUGUUUCACUGCACUGGUACAAAUGUUGGAUAAAACUCGUGGCAAGCCUAAAAUUAUUCCCUAUCUGGAUGCUUAUAAAACACAGAGACAACUUGUUGUCACAGCAACAGAUAAGUUUGAAAAACUUGUGCAGACUGUGAGAGAUUAUCAUGCAACUUGGAAAACUGUUAGUAAUAAAUUAAAAAAUCAUCCUGAUUAUGAAGAAUACACCAACUUAGAAGGAACAAGAAAGGCCAGGAAUAUGUUCUCAAAACACAUAGAACAACUUAAACAGGAACAUAUAAGAAAAAGGAGAGAAGAAUAUAUAAAUACUUUACCAAGAGCUUUUAACACUCUUUUGCCAAAUCUGGAAGAGAUCGAACAUUUGAAUUGGUCAGAAGCUUUGAAGUUAAUGGAAAAGAGAACAGAAUUCCAGUUAUGUUUUGUGGUGCUAGAAAAAAACACCUUGGGAUAAAACUGACCAUAUAGACAAAAUUAAUGAUUAAUGAUAGACGGAUCCCAUUUGACCUCCUGAGCACUUUAGAAGCUGCAAAAGUCUAUCAGAACGAUGUACAACAUCUAACAUCAGAGAAGAGGAGGGUAGAAAUGAAGAAAAAAUUCAAAAAGACGCUGGAAAAGAUUCAGUUCAUUUCACCUGGAUAGCCAUGGGAGGAGGUUAUGUGCUUUGUUAUGGAGGAUGAAGCCUUCAAAUAUAUUACUGAGACUGAUAGCAAAGAAGUGUAUGGUAGACAUCAGUGAGAAAUAGUGGGAAAAGCCAAAGAAGAAUUUCAGGAAAUGCUUUUUGAGCAUUCUGAGCUUUUUUAUGAUUUAGAUCUUAAUGAAACACCUAGUUCAGAUAAAAUGAGUGAAACUCAUACAGUUCUGAGUGAAGAACCUAGAUAUAAAGCUUUACAGAAACUUGCACUUGAUAGAGAAUCUCUUCUACUUAAGCACAUAGGAUUUGUUUAUCAUCCCACUAAAGAAACAUGUCUUAGUGGCCAAAAUUGUACAGACAUUAAAGUGGAGCAGUUACUUGCCAGUAGCCUUUUACAGUUAGAUCAUGGGCGCUUACGGUUGUAUCAUGAUAGUACCAGUAUAGAUAAAGUUAACCUUUUUAUUUUAGGGAAGGAUGGCCUUACCGAAGAACUGGCAAAUGAGAUAAGGACACAAUCCACUGAUGAUGAGUAUGCCUUAGAUGGAAGAAUUUAUGAACUUGAUCUUCGACCGGUUGAUGCCAAAUCGCCUUACUUUUUGAGUCAGUUAUGGACUGCCACCUUUAAACCACACAGGUGCUUCUGUGUGUUUAAUUCCAUUGAGUCAUUGAGUUUUAUUGGAGAAUUUAUUGGAAAAAUAAGAACUGAAGCUUCUCAGAUAAGAAAAGAUAAAUACAUGGCUAACCUUCCAUUUACAUUAAUUCUGGCUAAUCAGAGAGAUUCUAUUAGUAAGAAUCUACCAAUUCUCAGGCACCAAGGGCAGCAGUUGGCAAACAAGUUACAGUGUCCUUUUGUAGAUGUACCUGCUGGUACAUAUCCUCGUAAGUUUAAUGAAACCCAAAUAAAGCAAGCUCUAAGAGGAGUAUUGGAAUCAGUUAAACACAAUUUGGAUGUGGUAAGCCCAGUUCCCACCAAUAAGGAUGUAUCAGAAGCUGACUUGAGGAUUGUCAUGUGUGCCAUGUGUGGUGAUCCAUUUAGUGUGGAUCUUAUUCUUUCACCCUUCCUUGAUUCUCAUUCUUGCAGUGCUGCUCAAGUUGGACAGAAUAAUUCACUAAUGCUUGAUAAAAUCAUUGGUGAAAAAAGAAGGCAGAUACAGAUCACAAUAUUAUCAUACCACUCUUCAAUUGGAGUAAGAAAAGAUGUACUGGUUCAUGGGUAUAUAUUAGUAUACUCUGCCAAAUGGAAAGCAUCAAUGGGAAUGCUUCGAGCACUUCUAUCAGAAGUUCAAAACAACAUUCCUGUACAACUGGUGGCAGUUACAGACAGCCAAGCAGAUUUUUUGAAAAUGAGGCUAUCAAGGAGUUAAUGACUGAGGGGGAACACAUUGCAACUGAGAUCACUGCUAAAUUUGCGGCAUUGUAUUCUUUAUCUCAGUAUCAUCGGCAACUGAAGUCUUUACUCUUUUUUUUAGUGAUGUUCUAGAGAAAAAAAAUAUGAUAGAAAAUUCCUAUUUGUCUGAUAAUACAAGGGAAUUAACCCAUCAAAGUGAAGACGUUUUUCUACCAUCUCCCAGAGACUGUUUUCCCUAUAACAACUACCCUGAUUCAGAUGAUGACACAGAAGCACCACCUCCUUAUAGCCCAAUUGGGGAUGAUGUACAGUUGCUUCCAACACCUAGUGACCAUUCCAGAUAUAGGUUAGAUUUGGAAGGAAAUGAAUAUCCUAUUCAUAGUACCCCAAACUGUCAUGACCAUGAACAUAACCAUAAAAUGCCUCCACCUAUUAAACCUAAACCAGUUGUACCUAAGAUGAAUGUGAAAAAAUUGGAUCCAACCCUUUUAAAAACAAUUGAAGAUGGUAUUGGUAAAAAUCCAAGAAAACAGACUUCCCGGGUACCUUUGGCACAUCUUGAAGAUAUGGAUCCUUCAGAUAACUACGCAGAACCCAUUGAUACAAUUUUCAGAAACAGAAGGCCUAUUCUGAUGAGAUUUAUGUUGUCCCAGAUGAUAGUCAGAAUCGCAUUAAAAUUCGAAACUCAUUUGUAAAUAACACACAAGGAGAUGAAGAAAAUGGAUUUUCUGAUAGAACCUCAAAAAGUCACGGGGAAUGGAGGCCUUCAAAAUACAAACAUAAAUCUAAAACCUUGUUUAGUAAAACCAAGUCUAUUAUAGAAGAACACAUUCAGAUGCAAGUGAUGAUGAGGCUUUUACCACUUCUAAAACAAAAAGAAAGGGAAGACAUCGUGGAAGUGAAGAAGAUCUACUUCUUUCUCCUGUUGAAACUUGGAAAGGUGGUAUUGAUAAUCCUGCAAUCACUUCCGACCAGGAGUUAGAUGAUAAGAAGAUGAAGAAGAAAACCCACAAGGUGAAAGAAGAUAAAAAGAAAAACUAAGAACUUCAAUCCACCAACACGUAGAAAUUGGGAAAGUAAUUACUUUGGGAUGCCUCUGCAGGAUCUGGUUACAACUGAGAAGCCCAUACCACUAUUUGUUGAAAAAUGUGUGGAAUUUAUUGAAGAUACAGGGUUAUGUACUGAAGGACUCUACCAUGUUAGCGGGAAAAAAACUGAUCAAGACAAUAUUCAAAAGCAGUUUGAUCAAGAUCAUACUAUCAAUCUAGUGUCAAUGGAAGUAACAGUAAAUGGAAGUAACAGUAAAUGGAAAUAACAGUAAAUGGAAGUAACAGUAAAUGGAAGUAACAGUAAGAUACAGGGUUAUGUACUGAAGGACUCUACCAUGUUAGCGGGAAAAAAACUGAUCAAGACAAUAUUCAAAAGCAGUUUGAGUAAAUUUCUUAACAAUUUCUUUCCUGUAAACUAUGAUGUAUUCAGAUAUGUGAUAACACAUCUAAACAGGGUUAGUCAGCAAAAUAAAGUCAACUUAAUGACAGCAGACAACUUAUCCAUCUGUUUUUGGCCAACCUUGAUGAGACCUGAUUUUGAAAAUCGAGAGUUUCUGUCUACCACUAAGAUUCAUCAAUCGGUUGUUGAAACAUUCAUUCAACAGUGUCAGUUUUUCUUUUACAAUGGAGAAAUUGUAGAAACCACGAACAUUGUGGCUCCUCCACCACCUUCAAACCCAGGAUAAUUGGUGGAACCAAUGGUACCACUUCAGUUACCACCACCAUUGCAACCUCAACUGAUACAACCACAAUUACAAACGGAUCCUCUUGGCAUUAUAUGAGUAGGAAGUUAUUGCAAACAGCCUGGAUUUGGACAAAAAGAAAAUCUAAACAUACAUGUUUCAGGGUUCAGUAGUAUACUUCAUAUUUCAUACAGAUAAUUCAUUCAAAAUGAUGACAUUUUUCUCUUUGAACUAGAUGGUAUUCCUUAUUCACAUACAUUGCAAAUCUAGGACCAUGUGGUAAGCAUGACUGGAGAGGUUUAAUUUUUAUAAACAAAAAUAGCUAUAAAAUACAAAGCUGCUGCUGCGUGCAACCUUAUUGCAAUCAGUAUAUCAUUCCUGUGGCAAUUUCUGUCACAUUAUAUUGUGAAGAAAAUUUUUCUAUAGAAAUUAAAUGAUUUAAAAACUCACAUAUAUGAAGCAUUUAAUACUUUUCAGCCUGCUUUAUGGCUGGUUUGUUAUUUGAUGUGCUAAUUUGGGCAACUUAAUUUACAUUCCAGCAGUCAAUGUAGAUAACUAAAAGCCCAGCUAAUAUUUUAGAAUUUCGGGCUACUUAUGCCAUGCUUGGGAUGUUGUUUGAAAGAAAGAAAAAAUAAAUACACUUGGCAUAUCACAGAAUUCUGCACCUUCAUCUUUACUUCCAAGUAAACCUGUGGAUGAUUUGAUGAGGAGUAAAUGAACCUAUUUCUUUUACAUACAUAACAAGGACAUACUUAUGGCUAAGGUGAGUUGAUACUGUUGUGCAAGGAUAUUGUCACUGACUCAUUUCUUUAUGGUCCAUAAUGAAAUAAACAUUUUGUAUACUGUUAAUUCUGUAAACAGAUGCAUGUUCAAAAGAUCUAUGAUGGUCUUGUAAUCUUAAUCUAAUAUAUUUUAGAUAUUUUAUUUUUUUCCCUCUUGGGGAAUACAUUUAGUGUAGAAAAUACUUCAUGACAUUUUCAUAUAUGGUUAUAUAACUUUUCAUACAUAAACAUGAAAUUUGUUGUAGAAAAUUCAGAUCUAGGGCUUCAAUAUAAUCUGUUCCUUGAAUCUAUUUUU